rnacentral:lncRNA from 1 species
CAGAAGAAGAGGGUGUUUGGCCUAACUUUUAAAAAGUGUUUUUUGACUGAAAAGUAAUUUUCAGCUCAAUAAAGUAUUUGGCAACUCACUUUCAAAAUUUAAUUUUACUUUUUAGAAUUAGAAAACUGAUUUUAAAGGCUUCAGAAUCAGAAGUAGAAAAAAAGCUACUUCUUGAAAUCUGAUUCUGAUUUUGAAUUUAAACUUCAAAUUUUUAUUUUAAUUUUAAUUUAAAUAUUUAAAUUUAAUUUUAAUUUUAAAUUUAAAUUUUCAGAUUCAUUUUUGAAUUUUUGAAUUUUAACUUUUAAAUUUUAAAUUUUGAAAACUAGAUUUCAAACUUUAAAUUUUAAAUUUUAAUAUAAAAUUUCAAAUCUCAAAUUUUAGAUUUUAAAAUUUCAAAUUUCAAAUUUCAAAUUUCAAGUUUCAAAUUUUAAUAUUCAAAUAUUCAAAUAUUCAAAUUUAAAUUUUAUAUUUUAAAUUUCAUAAUUAUUUUAAAUUUGAAAUUUUAAUUUUAAAAUUUUAAUUUUGAAAUUUUAAAUUUAAAUAUAUUUUUUAAAUAUUAAUAUUUUAUAUUUUAAAUUUCAUAAUUAUUUAUAUUUUUACAUUUAAAUUUUAAAAUUUAAAUUUNNNNNNNAUUUCAAGAUAUUUUUUGUAAAUCUAAAUUUGAGUAUUUAAUAUAUACAUAUUAAAUUAAAUUAUUAAUAUAUAUUAAUUAUUAAAAAAUAUAUAAAAAUUAUAUUUUAUAUAUAGUAUGUUUUUAUCUGAUUUUAUUUUUGUUUUUAAUUUCGGAUUUCGGUUCAGGUUCAAUAGUAAUAGUAAUUUUGAAAUAAAUUAUAGAUUUUAUUUUUUUUCCUAUUGAAGCAAAAAUAAAUCACAUAACUAUAUGCAAGCAUUGUUCUGUGAUUGAAACAAAAAGAGAGUUUUGUUCAAAAGCUAAAAUAUAUUAUAUUUCAGUUUUUUAAUACGUUUAAUGCAGAUAAAAUUAUCAAGAAUAUUUUGAUUAAAAAAAAAUUUUAAGCUUUCAAGAUUAAAGAAAGAUCGGAUAAUUCCUUAACAUUAUUUUCAUUUAAAUUUUUAUAUAUAAUUAUUUAUUCGAUAAAAUAUAAAUAGAGCCACUAGAUUUGGUAAAAUUAUCAAAAAAACUAAAAACUUCUCAUUUUUUCAUACACUGAAAUUAGUUAAUUUUUUAAAAAAUUAAAAGUUAAUGGGAUAUCAACUAAAAAAAUGAAAGUUGAGAGAGCUGUUUCAAAAUGGCAUAUAGUUGAGCGGUCUCCAUACAUUUUAACUUAAGAAAAAUUUGAAGGUAAAUAAGUCAUUUUAAAAUUUAAUCCAUCUUUAACCAUUUAAUAACUAUGGUAAAGCUAACAUAACUAACAGUAGGGAUAUUGAUGAUAAUUCUCUGUGUUUAUAAGGGUAAUGGUGAUAUUUUAAAUUUUAUAGGGGCAUCUAUGAUAUUUUAGAUUUUGGGAGGGGUAUU